UAUGAGACUCUUGGAUCCAGUUUGAAGAGUUAUGUCUGUUUGCCUGCAAAGAGAGACGGCGCGCUGUGCCUCUCCUGUCCCAAUCCUCUAGAGACCUUGGAAUAGAUCGAAAGGGGGUGUUUUUAUACAUCCAGUGACAUCACGGGAAGUCCGCUGUUAUCCCCUUUCCUGGCUGGCUGGAAGUAGGUUAAUGUGAUUUUUUUGAAAGUUCCAGAAAAGUUCGUACCGCAUGUUGUAAUCCAUGGCUGUGGGUCCCAAUAGGCUCAUCCACAAACUACCAGAGUAUUGAGUCCUGGUGGUCCAUAUUCAUAAAGGGAAGGUGUCAGUUCUGGAUGGAGCUAAUUGCAGGCAUAGAGAUGCCGGAUACUUCAACAGGAGUCAAGAGCAUCAGUGUCUGCGGAGAUAUUGCUUUGCUGAUGUUGUUCAGAGGGACUUGGAUGAGUGUGUGGACUGUGGAACAGUCCAAGGAUACGCCCCUCCAGAACAGCAUCAUGUCCAGGAGAAGUGCCCACUGAGCUCUACUAUAGGCAUAACUUUGCUGAUAGAAUUUGUUUUAAAUAAAUGUAAUCAAAUCUUUUGUUUAUCAUAGGUUUGGCUUCAGAGAUUGUGGAUUUAACAUUGAACAGUAUGAACUGGAUGCCUUUCCUAUGGUUCACCUGACAAGAGGAACACUUAGACUUGGAGCACAAUCAUUAACAGAAACCAAUCUUGUCAAUCUUCAACUGAACUGUAUCUGGAACUAAACAAAUUGCUCACCUAUGAAUUGAAGGAUUAUUGUAAUGGUGGAGGAACAUGUACAAAAAAUGUCUGAAACAUGUACACUAUUUGUCACACAGCUUCAAUAUUUAUACGUGUGAAAUAAAUGAAUAAAAAUAAUGUAUGAAACACA